UACGUAGGGGGCAAGCGUUAUCCGGAUUUACUGGGUGUAAAGGGGGCGCAGACGGCGAUGCAAGCCAGGAGUGAAAGCCCGGGGCCCAACCCCGGGACUGCUCUUGGAACUGCGUGGCUGGAGUGCAGGAGGGGCAGGCGGAAUUCCUGGUGUAGCGGUGAAAUGCGUAGAUAUCAGGAGGAACACCGGUGGCGAAGGCGGCCUGCUGGACUGCAACUGACGCUGAGGCGCGAAAGCGUGGGGAGCAAACAGG
rnacentral:rRNA from 1 species